UACGUAGGUGGCGAGCGUUGUCCGGAAUUACUGGGCGUAAAGGGAGCGUAGGUUGCGAUUUAAGUUAGGUGUGAAAGCCCGUGGCUCAACUACGGAACUGCAUUUAAAACUGGAUUGCUAGAGUACAGGAGGGGUGAGCGGAAUUCCUAGUGUAGCGGUGGAAUGCGUAGAUAUUAGGAAGAACACCGGAGGCGAAGGCGGCUCACUGGACUGCAACUGACACUGAGGCUCGAAAGCGUGGGGAGCAAACAGG
rnacentral:rRNA from 1 species